GAUGAACGCUGGCGGCGUGCCUAAUACAUGCAAGUCGAGCGAAUGGAUUAAGAGCUUGCUCUUAUGAAGUUAGCGGCGGACGGGUGAGUAACACGUGGGUAACCUGCCCAUAAGACUGGGAUAACUCCGGGAAACCGGGGCUAAUACCGGAUAACAUUUUGAACUGCAUGGUUCAAAAUUGAAAGGCGGCUUCGGCUGUCACUUAUGGAUGGACCCGCGUCGCAUUAGCUAGUUGGUGAGGUAACGGCUCACCAAGGCAACGAUGCGUAGCCGACCUGAGAGGGGGAUCGGCCACACUGGGAGUGAGACACGGCCGAGACUCCUACGGGAGGCAGCAGUAGGGAAUCUUCCGCAAUGGACGAAAGUCUGACGGAGCAACGCCGCGUGAGUGAUGAAGGCUUUCGGGUCGUAAGACUCUGUUGUUAGGGAAGAACAAGUGCUAGUUGAAUAAGCUGGCACCUUGACGGUACCUAACCAGAAAGCCACGGCUAACUACGUGCCAGCCGCCGCGGUAA
rnacentral:rRNA from 1 species